AACGAACGUUAGCGGCGCGCCUAACACAUGCAAGUCGCACGAGAAAGGGCUUCGGCCCCGGUAAAGUGGCGCACGGGUGAGUAACACGUGGUAAUCUGCCUUCGAGCGGGGGAUAACGACCCGAAAGGGUCGCUAAUACCGCAUAAGACCACGACCUCGAAAGAGGAUGCGGUCAAAGCUGGCCUCUAUACAUAAGCUAGCACUUGAGGAUGAGCCCGCGGCCCAUCAGCUAGUUGGUAGGGUAAUGGCCUACCAAGGCGAAGACGGGUAGCUGGUCUGAGAGGAUGAUCAGCCACACUGGAACUGAGACACGGUCCAGACUCCUACGGGAGGCAGCAGUGGGGAAUUUUGCGCAAUGGGGGAAACCCUGACGCAGCAACGCCGCGUGAGUGAUGAAGGCCUUCGGGUCGUAAAGCUCUUUUGGUGGGGAAGAAAUGCGCAGCGGUCAAUACCCGCGGCGUUUGACGGUACCCACAGAAAAAGUCCCGGCUAACUCCGUGCCAGCAGCCGCCGUAAAAC
rnacentral:rRNA from 1 species